GACGAACGCUGGCGGCGUGCUUAACACAUGCAAGUCGAACGGAAAGGCCCUGCUUUUGUGGGGUGCUCGAGUGGCGAACGGGUGAGUAACACGUGAGUAACCUGCCCUUGACUUUGGGAUAACUUCAGGAAACUGGGGCUAAUACCGGAUAGGAGCUCCUGCUGCAUGGUGGGGGUUGGAAAGUUUCGGCGGUUGGGGAUGGACUCGCGGCUUAUCAGCUUGUUGGUGGGGUAGUGGCUUACCAAGGCUUUGACGGGUAGCCGGCCUGAGAGGGUGACCGGCCACAUUGGGACUGAGAGACGGCCCAGACUCCUACGGGAGGCAGCAGUGGUGAAUAUUGCACAAUGGGCGGAAGCCUGAUGCAGCAACGCCGCGUGCGGGAUGACGGCCUUCGGGUUGUAAACCGCUUUCGCCUGUGACGAAGCGUGAGUGACGGUAAUGGGUAAAGAAGCACCGGCUAACUACGUG
rnacentral:rRNA from 1 species